UCUUUUCCCUUGAUAACUGCCCCUUCAGCAAUUGAAUAAUGCUGUUUGGCUUCUCAUUUGAGCAAGUGGGGCACAGGGCUAAAGACGGAGAGAAACGUACCCAGGACUGAAUGGUGUUAGUACAGCAGAUGCUCCGGUUACAAGCUGUACUGUGCUGUGGAGUGCUGGAUUCCGAAUGACACUGAUACUUUUGAAGGUUUUUGAUAUGUUGAUUCUCUAAAGACAAGAUUCAUAACAGGGAUCCCUGUUAGUAGGACUCACUCUAAGCUUAACUGAGUGAAUAUUUCAUGUAAGAUCCACUGAAAUCUAGGGAAAAAAAGAAUUCAAGCAGCAUUUCUUUUUAAAAAUGCAUUUAAUGAGAGAACUGUUAAGUCAAAAAUGUCUUGACAAAAGUAAAGCUGCAGUGCAGUGAGAAAAAAACAGGAACCCUUUCUUUACCAAGCUUCUCCCAUAAUCAGUAAAUUAGAACAGAUAACUGGGACUUCGUAUUUAUCAAGACGUUCUCCAAACUU
rnacentral:lncRNA from 1 species